UGAGUAACACGUGGGUGAUCUGCCCUGCACUUCGGGAUAAGCAUGGGAAACUGGGUCUAAUACCGGAUAGGACCAUGGACUUCACGGUUUGUGGUGGAAAGCUUUUGCGGUGUGGGAUGGGCCCGCGGCCUAUCAGCUUGUUGGUGGGGUAAUGGCCUACCAAGGCGACGACGGGUAGCCGGCCUGAGAGGGUGUCCGGCCACACUGGGACUGAGAUACGGCCCAGACUCCUACGGGAGGCAGCAGUGGGGAAUAUUGCACAAUGGGCGCAAGCCUGAUGCAGCGACGCCGCGUGGGGGAUGACGGCCUUCGGGUUGUAAACCUCUUUCAGUACCGACGAAGCGCAAGUGACGGUAGGUACAGAAGAAGCACCGGCCAACUACGUGCCAGCAGCCGCGGUAGUACGUAGGGUGCGAGCGUUGUCCGGAAUUACUGGGCGUAAAGAGCUCGUAGGUGGUUUGUCGCGUUGUCCGUGAAAUCCCACAACUCAAUUGUGGGUCUGCGGGCGAUACGGGCAGACUGGAGUACUGCAGGGGAGACUGGAAUUCCUGGUGUAGCGGUGGAAUG
rnacentral:rRNA from 1 species